rnacentral:rRNA from 1 species
AGUAACGGCGAGUGAAGCGGCAACAGCUCAAAUUUGAAAGCUGGCUUAGGCCCGCAUUGUAAUUUGCAGAGGAUGCUUUUGGUGAGGUGCCUUCCGAGUUCCCUGGAACGGGACGCCAUAGAGGGUGAGAGCCCCGUAUGGAUGGACACCAAACCUGUGUAAAGCUCCUUCAACGAGUCGAGUAGUUUGGGAAUGCUGCUCAAAAUGGGAGGUAAAUCUCUUCUAAAGCUAAAUACCGGCCAGAGACCGAUAGCGCACAAGUAGAGUGAUCGAAAGAUGAAAAGCACCUUGAAAAGGGGGUUAAACAGUACGUGAAAUUGUUGAAAGGGAAGCGCUUGUGACCAGACUUGCGCCGGGCAGCUCAUCAGGGGUUCUCCCCUGUGCACUCUGCCCGGCUCAGGCCAGCAUCGGUUCUCGUGGGAGGAUAAGAACAGUAGGAAUGUGGCCCCCUUCCGGGGGGGUGUUAUAGCCUAUUGUACGAUACUCUCGUGGGGACCGAGGUUCGCGCUCCGCAAGGAUGCUGGCGUAAUGGUCAUCAGCGACCCGUCUUGAAACACGGACCAAGGAGUCGUCCAUUAGAGCGAGCGUUUGGGUGUAAAACCCGCACGCGUAAUGAAAGUGAACGCAGGUGAGAGCUUCGGCGCAUCAUCGACCGAUCCUGAUGUCUUCGGAUGGAUUUGAGUAAGAGUUUUAACGGACGGACCCGAAAGACAGUGAACUAUGCUUGUAUA